AAAGCAAGAGUGUCAAAGAUCAUUGAUUUCUUUCUGUUAAAUAAAAUACGUACAUGUCUUUUAGUCUUACAGGGUUUUCAACGGUUAUAUUGACAUGUUCAACUAGCAAUUGAAUCGUUCGAGCAUACCCGGCAAACAAUGCGAGGGUUGGUGAGGUACCUCUCGCUCUAGCUUUCACGCUGUUGAUGCUCUACCUGUUGAGCUGAGCUUUCACGUCCCUUACCACCGAUCUUCUUCCUACCCCUCGCCUAAGAUCGUCUGACGUCUCGCCUGACACCUUUCGUUGUGUUGGUGCUAUGCGGCUGCUGUCACUGUAGAAGUCAGGUUGUGUGUGUAAAAAAACGUAAACAGUGUUGUUGGCUGAUCAAUUUUGGUAAGUUUUUUAAUAAUUAAGGUCUUAAUUUUACGUAAGUAAAUGCCAUUUUAGCAAAAGUUAGUGGUAGAAGUCCUGCCCAAUGCGUGCUGGCUCCGUCGGAAGCGGUACGCAUAUGUACCGGCGUAGGAAAGUGGUGUGAUGAACAACACAGCAUAAGACAACGGAUAUAAUGCAGAAACGAUAUGGGCAUGCCGCAGGUGUUUGCGACUGUGCGUUGCAUUUUAUAUGAUUCGGUGUGUUCGCCAAUUUUCCUCUAUUCUGGAACGUGGUGUUACGAGGAACCGUUCAAGAAGAUCCCCCGGAAGCUGUACGGCGACGAGUCGGGCUCUACCAGCACAAUACGCUAAAGGCCCAGCCGGCACCGGGUGCCCCGAUUGCGCCGCCGGACGGUGUCGAGGAAAAAACGUUGAAACGUUCGGGGCAGGAAUUCAACCCUUCGGAUCCUCAUUAUCCUCUGCCCCACAAUAGCUGCAGCAGCAACAGGACCGAACCGACAGCACUACUGAUUGCGGUCAAAUUUCCUGGCAGGAGAAAAAACCCCACAAGUGUAUCGAUUUCAUCGACGGUCGCUCGCUGGCAGCACCAACAUGCCACCGAAUAACCCCGGAAAGGCGACAAACACUCAUCACAGUGGCGACAGUGGCAAAUUUUUAACGUGAACCCACUUCCGCCCAUCUACACGACAUCGCGUUAAUAGUGUUAUUGUGUUAAUUGGAAAAAUAACUUUAUGUUAACGAGUUAAGUUUAAUCUUAAGUGCGCUUUAAGUCAUAAAUCGAUAUGCCUAAUUUUAUGUUAAGUGUUUUGAAAUGUGCGUGUGUGUGAAGGGGCGGAAUAAGCGCUAAUUUUGCCCCGUGGUCUUGAGGGGCCCCAAAAAAGGAACCCACCCCCCACUCGCAAGUAAAAUUGCUACCCAAUCCUUCUCUAGUUUAGAGCAUUUCCCUGCUAGACGCUGCAGCCACACCUACAUUUAUGUGACUGCUUAGGGCCUCCACUCGUAUGUGCGGGUUUUACACAACAUUUAAGAUAAAUAAAUCUAGAUUAUAUUCUCAUAAAACA